AUCUUAGGCGACAGCAAUGCUGAGGGUCGCGCCUCUGGUAGUGCUGUUGGCUGCGGCCGCACAGGCGCAGUGGGAUCCCAACUCUAGCAAUGGACAGGUUAUCGUCCACUUGUUUGAGUGGAAGUGGCCGGACAUCGCCGCGCGAAUGCGAGAACUUCUUGGCUCCCCGAGGAUUCGCCGGCGUUCAGGUAUCACCACCCACUGAAUGUCUGGUAGCAUACCAGGGAGAUGUGCAGCGGCCGUGGUGGGAGAGGUACCAGCCGGUGUCCUACAAGAUCGUCUCUCGCUCUGGCGACGAAAACGCCUUCAAGGACAUGAUAACUCGAUGCAACAACGUGGGAGUAAGGAUCUACGUCGACAUCGUGGUGAAUCACAUGACCGGUUGGUGGCCAGCGGGCACAGGAAGCACCGGUGGGUCCUCCUUUGACUCAGGCGCACAGUCCUACCCCGGUGUCCCUACUCCGGUUUUGAUUUCAACCGACGCCAACUGCCACACCGGAUCCGGUGACAUCGAAAACUACGGCGACGCCAAUCAGGUACGCAACUGCAAGUUGUCCGGGAUGAACGACCUGAACCAAGGCACUGACUACGUGCGAGGCAAGAUCAGGGACUACCUCAACACCCUUAUCAGCUUCGGUGUCGCCGGCUUCCGCGUCGACGCCAGUAAGCACAUGUGGCCUGGGGACAUGAAGGCCAUUUUCGAUAGCCUGGACGACCUCAGUCCAGAUAUCUACGGGGUCGGUGCCAGACCCUUCAUCGUCCAAGAAGUCAUUGAUCUGGGCGGCGAGGCCAUAUCCAGCGAAGAAUACGUCGGUAAGGACGUGUAACGGAGUUUCGGUACGGCAAGUACCUGGGCGAGGCAUUCCGCGGCAACAACCAGCUGAAGUACCUCAACAACUUCGGCGAAGGCUGGGGCAUGAUGCACAGGGCCAACUCACUCGUCUUCAUUGACAACCACGACAACCAGCGCGGCCAUGGUGCCGGAGGAGACAUGAUCCUUACCUUCCGUGUCCCUAAAUGGUACAAGAUGGCCAACGCAUUCAUGUUGGGUUGGCCUUACGGCUACACGCGCGUGAUGUCGUCGUACUACUGGGACCAAUGGUGGGAGAAUGGCCAGGAUAAGAACGACUGGGUCGGACCUCCUCACGACGACAGCUUCAACAUCAUCAGCCCGAGCUUCAACGCCGACGGCAGCUGCGGGAACGGCUGGAUCUGCGAGCACCGCUGGAGGCAGAUCUACAACAUGGUGGAGUUCCGGAAUGUUGCCCAUGGGACGGACAUGAACGACUGGUGGGACAACGGCAGCAACCAGAUCGCCUUCUGCAGAGGCAACAAGGGCUUCCUGGCCAUCAACAACGACGGAUGGGAUCUGAAGGAGACGCUGCAGUCAACUUGCCUUCCUGCGGGUACGUACUGCGACGUCAUCUCCGGGUCGAAGGACGGAGGCUCCUGCACGGGCAAGAGCGUGACUGUGGGCGGCGACGGAAAGGCCUACAUCGAGAUCACGACCAUGGAAGACGACGGCGUGCUUGCUAUCCAUGCCAACUCCAAGCUGUGAGAUCUGUCCUCAUGCUAACUGUAGGAUAUCGUGAAUGAUGAUGUACUACUUAAAAAUCUUUGAAUAAUAUAACCAAUGAAACCUG